rnacentral:rRNA from 1 species
AGCGAACGCUGGCGGCAGGCUUAACACAUGCAAGUCGAGCGGGCGUAGCAAUACGUCAGCGGCAGACGGGUGAGUAACACGUGGGAACGUACCUUUUGGUUCGGAACAACACAGGGAAACUUGUGCUAAUACCGGAUAAGCCCUUACGGGGAAAGAUUUAUCGCCAAAAGAUCGGCCCGCGUCUGAUUAGCUUGUUGGUGAGGUAACGGCUCACCAAGGCGACGAUCAGUAGCUGGUCNGAGAGGAUGAUCAGCCACACUGGGACUGAGACACGGCCCAGACUCCUACGGGAGGCAGCAGUGGGAAUAUUGGACAAUGGGCGAAAGCCUGAUCCAGCCAUGCCGCGUGAGUGAAGAAGGCCUUAGGGUUGUAAAGCUCUUUUACCAGGGACGAUAAUGACGGUACCUGGAGAAUAAGCCCCGGCAAACUUCGU